rnacentral:rRNA from 1 species
GAAAGGUUUCGGCCGGACAGAGAUGGGCAUGCGGCGCAUCAGGCAGUUGGCGGGGUAACGGCCCACCAAACCGACGAUGCGUAGGGGUUCUGAGAGGAAGGUCCCCCACGCUGGUACUGAGACACGGACCAGACUCCUACGGGAGGCAGCAGUGAGGAAUAUUGGUCAAUGGCCGGAAGGCUGAACCAGCCAAGCCGCGUGAAGGACGAAGGUGCUAAGCAUUGUAAACUUCUUUUGUCAAGGGACAAAAUCAGGCUCGAGAGCCUGACCGAGGGUACUUGAAGAAAAAGCAUCGGCUAACUCCGUGCCAGCAGCCGCGGUAAUACGGAGGAUGCGAGCGUUAUCCGGAUUUAUUGGGUUUAAAGGGUGCGUAGGCGGGCUGUUAAGUCAGCGGUAAAAGCCCGGGGCUCAACCCCGGCGAGCCGUUGAAACUGGCGGUCUUGAGAGGCCGAGAGGUAUGCGGAAUGCGCAGUGUAGCGGUGAAAUGCUUAGAUAUUGCGCAGAACUCCGAUUGCGAAGGCAGCAUACCGGCGGCGAUCUGACGCUGAGGCACGAAAGCGUGGGUAUCGAACAGGAUUAGAUACCCUGGUAGUCCACGCAGUAAACGAUGAAUACUGGCUGUGUGGCCCGACAGAGGGCU